UAGUCCUGGCCGUAAACGAUGGAUGCUAGACGUGGGGGGUAUCGACCCCUCCCGUGUCGCAGUUAACGCAUUAAGCAUCCCGCCUGGGGAGUACGAUCGCAAGAUUGAAACUCAAAGGAAUUGACGGGGGCCCGCACAAGCGGUGGAGCAUGUGGUUUAAUUCGACGCAAUGCGAAGAACCUUACCUGGGCUUGAACUGCAGGGAAAAGCCGGUGAAAGUCGGUGUGACCUUCGGGUCGUUCCUGUAGAGGUGCUGCAUGGCUGUCGUCAGCUCGUGUCGUGAGAUGUUGGGUUAAGUCCCGCAACGAGCGCAACCCUUGUCGCUAGUUACCGGCAAGUAAUGUUGGGGACUCUAGCGAGACCGCCCGCGCAAGCGGGAGGAAGGUGGGGACGACGUCAAGUCAUCAUGGCCCUUACGUCCAGGGGCUACACACGUGCUACAAUGGGCGAGUACAACGCGCAGCCAACCCGCGAGGGUGAGCGAAUCGCUUAAAGCUCGUCUCAGUUCGGGAUUGGGAGU
rnacentral:rRNA from 1 species